CCGGUUGGGGAUGGGCUCGCGGCCUAUCAGCUUGUUGGUGGGGUGAUGGCCUACCAAGGCGAUGACGGGUAGCCGGCCUGAGAGGGCGACCGGCCACACUGGGACUGAGACACGGCCCAG
rnacentral:rRNA from 1 species